CUGACGGAGCGACGCCGCGUGAGCGAAGAAGGCCUUCGGGUCGUAAAGCUCUGUUGUGAGGGACGAAGGAGCGCCGUUCGAAGAGGGGGCGCGGUGACGGUACCUCACGAGAAAGCCCCGGCAACUACGUGCCAGCAACCGCGGAAAUACGUAGGGGGCGAGCGUUGUCCGGAUUAUUGGGCGUAAAGCGCGCGCAGGCGGUCUCUUAAGUCUGAUGUGAAAGCUUACGGCUCAACCGUGGAGGGUCAUUGGAAACUGGGGGACUUGAGGGCAGGAGAGGAGAGCGGAAUUCCACGUGUAGCGGUGAAAUGCGUAGAGAUGUGGAGGAACACCAGUGGCGAAGGCGGCUCUCUGGCCUGCACCUGACGCUGAGCGC
rnacentral:rRNA from 1 species